UUUAGAGUUUAUGUAAGCUUUGAACUUACUAAAGGUAAUCACUAAUUUACCCUCUAAAUAAUACAAAUUAACAAAUAAA
rnacentral:tRNA from 2 species